rnacentral:misc_RNA from 1 species
CGGCGAACGUAGCCCCCUCCACUUACAAGCUGUGGUUUUUGAACACACGCAGGAACGCAUGGUUAGCGGAUGUUCAUCUCCACGACACGCUCACUUACACGCAAAUAGAAAAAAAAUGAGUGCGUGCUUUCACGACCAGCUUGACUGGUUUCCGAAAGAGUGCUAAACCAUGAAGAUCGAGGGAACCGCACUCGCGAAUUUCCGGAGCAUACGCCGAGAUAAGUUGUUUCCCUGAAAACGCUUUCACACAUUUGCACCUAACUUAGGGUGCCAAUCACCUGCUUUUUCGUCUGUUCUCUUUUUCUCCCCCUAGACGUUUGACUUCACAAGACCCUGCACGCUCUUAUCUCUUCCCCUACACUACAAGCGAACACAACGUCGACACACGCACUCCCAAUGUGUCAGGGAGGGGUGCGAGAUAGUGGCAGCGCAUGCCGGGUUUUCUUCUCGAAUUUUUCUUUUUUUCUUCGCCGUUUUUGAGAACGAUUUUUUUAUAUUGUUGUUUCGCCGCCCCUUUUCGCUUUCCUCUCCCUCGUCUCUGUUCCCCUUGCUCGUUACCGUGGAUCGUGAGGACCCUUAACCUUUCCCUUCACCUCCACCGUUUCGGUCAGGUGUACUCGACUGCGCCGCCAUGCUGUCUCUCUUUUUUGUUUUUCUCUUCUCAACUGGUCAGCUGACUUAUGCUUCUUCACUUCCGUCAUUCUUCGGAUAUGCUUUUUUUUUUCGUUUGUGCUGUUCUUCUCGCUUUUCCGGGAUUUUUGACACAAAUAUACAUCCUGUACGCUGCUUCAAACUUUUCAUCUUGACUGUUUUAUGCUCUUGUCUUCCAGUACUCGUUUAGCGUCCAGGAUGUUGUGUUCGCGCAUGAGAAUCCCUCCUAUUCGCCUUCUAAUGUCUCGUUAAGGGGCCUGCGACCCUGCUCGCCAAGGUUUCCUGCUCCUUCUCACAUGCUGAUCCCGCAUGCACACCGGAUGGUUAGUGGGGACGUCAAAUCGCACGUCUUCCGCAUUUUCUUCUUGUGCGUCCCGUUACGAUUAUGACGUUUCUCUCACGGACCUCCGGCAAAACAUGAACACCAACAAGAGCCGAAGAAACGUCGCCUCGUUUUUCAAUUUCUCAUAAACAGCUCUGCAAGGGCCUCGAGCAGAGGGAAAAGAAAAGCGCUCGCCAGAGCAAGCAGAGACGUUCACGGAUGCCGAGUGGCACAACGUGUUUCCUGAAAGGCUCGUGGCUUCAUCCGAACUAUUCCUUUCUCCACACCGCUUCUUGCAGAUGGAGGGGAGGCGGCUCGACGUGGACCUAACUGCGAAGCUUCGCGCCGUAUGCUUGGGACGAAUGAGUUUUUCUUUUUUUUUACGCCUUCCAUAUACGUUUUCUACAUCUACCCCUGCCUUUCAACUCCGCACAUCUACUCUGCCGUGUACCUUGGCCCCGGGAACCCCAUGUGGCUUCAG